AGUAUCUUGGGUAUGACCACCAUCAUACAUGCCAACUUUCCCGAUUUAGGCGGGAUCUUCCCGAUUUUACCCUCCGAUCCCGCUUUCCCGAUCGGGAAAGCAAAAUUACCCUAAAAUCCCGAUUUGAAAUUUUUUCCGACCAAAAUUUCCGAUUUCACGAUUGAAAACGAGUUUGAAAGCGGGAUAAUCGUGAAAUCUCGUGAGAUUUCAUAUUAUCAACCAAUGAAAUAUCCCGAAUUCGUCAAGCUUAAGUCGCGUGUCAUGGGCGAUCGGAAACAUGAUUACUUGUGUGUAUUGUGGUGCACUGCGAUGUUUGUUUAAGUUAAUUACGAGCAGGAAUGAUGUUUUGAUAGUAAUUAAUUGGGAAGACGGAUUUCAAAUUGACAUAUCCUUUACACAAACGUGAAUGGAGGAUUGACAACAAUGACAGUGUCACCACCAAACAAUCGGACAUUCCCGAUUAUUGCCUCUCGCUAACACCAUCCAAAAUAUGCAAUAAGAUGUCAUGGGUGCAAAGGUUUUGUUCGCCAACUUCAUAGCAGGGCAGAUCACUCCUUUUCUGGUUGCAAUGCAGAUUGUUUCACCAGACUCUGCAAGCCCAUGUUUACAGACAAGCAAGAUCGCCUUUGUAGUCGUACCUAAAUGCAUGUGCUUUAAUUUAAAUUUAGAUAUAUAGACCAGCCAAUGUUGAUAUGGUGUAAAAGGAUGCAACUUUAAGUAUUAUUUGAUAAUAUGUAUGUGACUUGUUGUUGGAGAGGAUUUUUUGCUGAAUAUUUUAAUAAAAUAUUUAUUUUAAAGGUUUUUUCUUUUUUUUUUCUUUUUUCUUUUUUUAGUUUUGUUAAAGUUAAUGGUCAAACACACUUGAUGUUGUGUUAAUAUAUGAUACAUGUACAAUGAUUAGAUUGAUAUUUUAUUUGAAAAGACAAAUAUUUAUUUUCAUGGUAAAAUGUCGUGAAUUUUGAGCGUUGAAAAAAGGUCGUCGCGCGCAAAAUCCCCCAUGGGGAUUUUUAAAAGUUGGCAUGUAUGCACCAUUCAAAUAACUGGCCAUCAAUGAAGCUUGAUCAUAGAACCAUCAAUUUAUUUUAUCAAGACUGUCUUUCUUAAACAUGAUGAACUAAAUUAAUUUUAUAAGUCUACCUGUUCAUAAAAAGUCCAGUAUUGUAAAUGUUCAAAAACAACUAUUAAAAGUUUUAAAAUUGACUAGUAUUUUGAGUAUUAAAAAACAAGAAAAUGUGUCUCUUUACGUAAAUAAAAUGAUAUUCUAUGUUUCUUAGUCAAUAUAUAAAUUUACAACCUGCAACUUAAGAUUUGAGAGGCUGUAUUCUACCGUUUUCAACAAUUUCGAUAAAUUCCAAUUUCUCGAUUCAUAUUUGUGCGCCAUGUUUGGUGUACUGAAGUUUCAACUACCGAUUGUCAAGUCAUUUGCAUAUGUCAUAUAAAGUAGUAUUUACAUCAAUGGACAAGUAUGGAGGCGAAAGCUAUUUUGUCGGUAUUGAAAAGGUUUGAAUUUAAUAUCAAGUUAAAAACCGAACAGCAGAGUGUAAAUUUUCAAGUAAACUACAUUUUCGCGCCGAUUGUCAAUGUUUAGCUUUUUCAUUAGAUCCACCUACGAGAUUUCGCGGUAACAAGCAUGGCGGAGCAGACGAAGAAUUUUGCAUGCUGUACAUUAUAUUUAAUGAAAAACACCUUUAUUAGACAUGCCCGAGCACAAAGUUGGUACUCCUUUUGGUGUAAUUUGUAAACAACAUUUGGGACUAUAUGUCACUAAUAGUAUUAUUAGUAAUACACAGUGCAGAGUUUAUUAUCGGUUAUUCAUAAAAUUAUUUUGCACCAUUACGGAGAUCCUAUGGAAUUGUAGCCUCAUCCCGAAAACGUCAGAAUAAAAAAAAUUGGACAGGGCUACAUUAUUGCAGCUAGAAAAAAAUCAAAAACCGUUUCAAUGGACCACGAGCAAGUUUCGUUUUCCAUUUUGGACAUUUCCGGUCGCUAUAAUUUUAGAGUCAAACUGGAAACAAUAACCGGAUCGCGGAACCUCAUCGAACGAGAUAAAAUGAAGACAGAAAACGGCGUUUGUUUCACAUUCUACUUUCAACCCUUCCCUUCUCUUGUUGCAUUCCUCUCAGUUUCGGUAAAAAAUAAAGAUUUUAUCAAAACAACCACCCACAGAUGCAGUUUUCUGGCAGUAGGUACCCACCAUAUAUGCAAUUUUCUACCAAUGACAAGCACCCAUAGAUUUUUUUUUAAUUGCCGUCCCCGGGUACCUCAUAUGUUUUAAUGGAACAGCCCUAAUCAAAACAAGAGGCUCAUGCACCUGAUUAUUACUUAAAAGUAUCACUUAGUGAUACUUUUAAGUAUAGUCCCAAGGCCUACGACAAAAUUUAGAGAGAAAAAAUUCCUGUUCCGAAUAUCUAAGCUAAAUUUAUUAUUCAGCAAAAGUAGACAUAAAAAACAAGAUGUGUUCUUAAAGGGGCAUGAACACCAUUUGAGCUGAAAAUUUUCAAAUUUUAUUUUUCCAUUUUUAUUGUUUACAAUGCUAAUUAACUAAAAUAUUUCUAUAGGUCAACAAAAAUUUGAAUAUCAGUUGUUGAGUUAUAAGUGAGAUACAGCAUGCACUCACAAUUCUUUGUUGUGUAAACAGGGCUCGUGCCAUGUUUUUGUUUACAUAUAGAUUGCUCAAUAGAAAAUAGCAUGUUUAAAACAAAAAGAGAAGUGCCAAACACUAGAAACUAUUUGACUGCACGUAAACAAAAACAUGGCACAAGCCUUAUUUACAUAACAAAGAAUUUUGAGCUCUUUAUCUCCCAUGAACCUUGACAAUUAACUCACGUUCAAAUUUUGCUGACCAUUAGAAAUAUCUUAGUUUAGCAUUUUAAACUACCUGAACAAGCUCACUGUAAUUUAGUUCUAAUGUGUUUAAGACCCAAGGAAUUUGCAUGGAAUAAUUAAUAUACUUGUUAUACAUAGAUCAUUGUAUUAUCCAGACACUACUGAUGAACUUUUUUUUUUUUUAAUGAAAAUCUCUACCAAAGUACAUUGAACAUAAGUCUCGGUCAAAUGUAAUUAACAUGUGAUUUUUUUAAAACAAAUCAUUUGAUGGAUUGUAUUUUUGCUCCUAUAGAUUAUGUAAUAAAUUAAUUUCAAUAUGUAAAUCAUCGACAUUGCUCUAAUUUCUAUAUUGAAUUAAGUUAAUCUGAUAAGAUGCAUAUUAAUACAAUAUAUGGAAGUAAGUAUGUACCUGUAAAAGAGAGAGAGAGAGAGAGAGAGAGAGAGAGAGAGAGAGAGAGAGAGAGAGAGAGAGAGAGAGAGAGGCAUUAUUAUCAAACAGUGAAUUAUAAGAACAUUUUAAUGAAGAAAGGGAUUAGAAAAUUAAAAGGAAAAUUUUCAAAACAAGUGUUUGGUAUUGUUGGAAUUGCCUCAAAAUACUGAAAAACAAUACAUAUAUCUUGUGGGGAAUUAUGGAAAUUUUUCUUCUUUUUUUAAAAUUCCACCUUUAUCAUGAUUAUUUAGCCUGCAGCAAAUUUUCACACCUCCUGUAAGGCACCCAUGGCCACAACAAAGCUCCUGGAAGCUGUGUGUAUUGGAAAAUAACAUACACCAUGGAAAAAUGAGGAUGCAGUGGAUCUCCAUGGACUCUCCAUGGUGGGGUGUAUAAAACUUGUGUUGUGUACUGUAACAUUAACACGAAAUGACUAAUUUUGACCUGUCCUAGAGUCAAAAUAACCCUGAGCUGGGGUUGCAAAAUUCACAAUUUCGGUACAUCGAUCCUUUUCUGCUUUUCCUAAAUAUGCAGUUAGUUUUAAUACUACAUCAGCUAACAUCAGGAAAUCUUUCAAUGAUAAAGACAAUAAUCAAUACAAUAAUUUUGGCUCCACCCUUGAACCAAACCC